UAAAACACCGAUAAGGGUAUACGGUGGAUGCCUUGGCACAAAAAGCCGACGAAGGACGCAGGAGCCGGCGAUACGCCUCGGGGAGCUGGCAAACAAGCUUUGAUCCGGGGAUGUCCGAAUGGGGAAACCUAGGCGAGUAAACCUCGCCUGUCUCUAUAGUGGUAUAUAGAGUUCGGGAACCAUGCGAAGUGAAACAUCUCAGUAGCAUGUGGAAAAUAAAACAAUUGCUUGCUUUUUAUCCUAGAGCUUGUCCAUCAAGCCUUGGGAUUAAGAAGCGAGCUAACAUUCCCUGAGUAGUGGCGAGCGAAAGGGGAACAGUCUAAACCUUGUUCAUGUUGUUCCGAUAAGUCAUUUUGAUUUAUCAAAGUGGAAGAUCGGAAUGUAAAGGUUACAGCCGUUGUGAAUAAGGUGUUGCAAGUCCAAUCGUUCGCUUCUGUAAAAGCGAGGGAAAAACGUGUUGUGUUGUCUAAUAGAACUUGCCUGGAAAGGCAGACCACAGAGGGUGAUAGUCCCGUACGUGAAAGACCACAAUUAUUUCCUGAUUGGUUCUUAAGUAGCGCGAGACACGUGAAAGCUCGCGUGAAACCGGGUCGACUACGAUCUAAGACUAAAUACUUUUUGUGACCGAUAGUGAACAAGUACCGUGAGGGAAAGGUGAAAAGCAGCCCGGUGAGGGCGAUGAAAUA
rfam:Candidatus Doudnabacteria bacterium RIFCSPHIGHO2_01_FTLL_49_9 rifcsphigho2_01_scaffold_7691, whole genome shotgun sequence.